GUGUAAGGGAGGUAACUCUGUUUGGGAUCGUGUUCACAGAUAGGUGGCGCACGCAGUUCCCGCCUCUUCGACCGCCAUUGCAACAGAAAAGUGGGUGAAAACUUGUCCGUCACAUGGGCCUCCAUGAUUUGCUACAAUUGUCAGAUAACCUGUUUUCCUAAAUGUUCGCGCUACGUCAGUGUCGUCAAUUGUGUUUCGGAUCGAACCGGAAUAUAACGCAAGUUCGAACAUUUAUAACGUUGAUAUUUAUAUCUGUCAGCAAGUCAAAUAUAUAUU